CGAACGCUGGCGGCGUGCUUAACACAUGCACGUCGAACGGAAAGGCCCUGCUUUUGUGGGGUGCUCGAGUGGCGAACGGGUGAGUAACACGUGAGUAACCUGCCCUUGACUUUGGGAUAACUUCAGGAAACUGGGGCUAAUACCGGAUAGGAGCUCCUGCUGCAUGGUGGGGGUUGGAAAGUUUCGGCGGUUGGGGAUGGACUCGCGGCUUAUCAGCUUGUUGGUGGGGUAGUGGCUUACCAAGGCUUUGACGGGUAGCCGGCCUGAGAGGGUGACCGGCCACAUUGGGACUGAGAUACGGCCCAGACUCCUACGGGAGGCAGCAGUGGGGAAUAUUGCACAAUGGGCGGAAGCCUGAUGCAGCAACGCCGCGUGCGGGAUGACGGCCUUCGGGUUGUAAACCGCUUUCGCCUGUGACGAGGCGUGAGUGACGGUAAUGGGUAAAGAAGCACCGGCUAACUACGUG
rnacentral:rRNA from 1 species